ensembl:lncRNA
CUGAUUACAACACAUUCCGUGAUAUCAGAUGUUGGCUUUAGGAAACAUAUAUCACGGGCUGGGGUGGGACUAAGUGGUGUCAUAUGAUUCUUAGCUCUGGUAGAUGGACUUGAAAAGCAUUGCAGAGGUCCAAGGGAGCUGCGUUUGUGGAUAAGGGCAAAUUCACUGUAUAGAUAUUGAAAUGCUCAGACACGGGACAGGGAGAAAUUAGGAAAGGUGGACUUUGUCUUUAAGUCACCCGGUAAUUUGUGAUUUACAGCUUUGCUACAUGCAGGGUGAGUGCGCUUACCGCAGAGGGGAUGGGCUGAGAAAUUUCCACAACCUGUUCCUCAAGGAAAAGUACUGAGCGUGAUAGAUUGCAUUUUGAUCUCCAUUGCCGAACAUCUGCGGCCAGAUCCUCAGUUGACUUCUGACCUUCCAUCUUGGGGUGUCUGGCCGUAGUUUAUAUUUCAGCAUUAUUACACAUGCUGUUGCAGGCAGCGUGCUAUUUUCCUCAAAGAGAGGCCUGAGAUUGAUUAAGCUACAGAAUGAUCACUUUUUGUCCCCCUAUAGGGGGAUGUUUUCUGUCUAAGGCUGGAUUCCUCCUGCCCUCAGAACAUUACUCUCUCUCACAUUAAGGAGACAGGACAGCUAUUUUUCAGAGACUGUUGGUUGAUUUAUUAUAUGCUUUCUUCUGAUUUCUUCCAUCCCUUCCACAUUAGAGCAAGUACAGGCUGACUAUCCCUGGAUUUGAGGAACGUUCUGGGAGAAAUCCCUGCCCUGCUGGUGCAAUAAUACAGCCCCCAGGAACUCCAGACUCUUAGAUUUUUCCCCAUGAGGCUGAGUUAUGGUCUGGCACUGGUUGUUCCGCCAGUGUAAUUUCAGUGGAGAUUUUCCAGAUUUACAUCAGUUUUAGUAGAUUUAGAGCUGAUCACCACUUGGAAGACCCUAUUUUAGCUAGCUUAAGAAAAAACUGGUGGAGUAUUUAUUAGGGAAUUAGCACAUCUAGCAUAAGGAUCACAUUUCCUGCAAUAUGCUCCAUCUUCAAGCAUGCAUGUUCUUGGGAGAUGUAGUUCUCUGUAAUUGUUUUAGAGGGUUUUGAAAAACUGUUUUCAAUAAAUAAAAACUGCUCAAGUCAUCAUAUUUUAACCCAGCGGAAAUGUAAGUAUGCAUACACCAACUUUUUGCUGGCAAACCACAAUUCCAGCAUCUUGUUAUCUCACCUAAAAUCUUGAUUGGCCUUCAUGCUAGGGGAAGACUCCAGUUGUCUGUUUGACAAAGCAGCUGAGUUGUUUGCUCUUUCCUGUACGUUUAUCCCACCUCAUCUUUUAGAAAGCCUUCAUUUCCUGAGCUUAUCUUAUUUGUCAAGGUGGUUCCCCCUACCCACUUCUCCCUCUUUACAUUGUUCUUUCUUUUCUGCAAGUUUCCAGCCUCCAGGUCUCAGGGAAAGUACACUGGCAGCUGCUGAAGUGUGUUAUCACUGGACUGCAGGCACUGCCUCUCUGCCUCAUUUUCCUGGUAUCCUCAUCAGCUUCCACAGACCUUAAUCAUUCAUUUUCACAUAAAAGUUUCCUACUGCUGGUGCUAAGUUUCUCAGCUGCACCACAUCUGAACUGUACAAGCUGCUGAGCCAAGAGUGGGUUUGACCUAUUACUCAUGCAGGUGUAGAUCAGGUUAAACCUUGCUUUGAAGUCAAUACCGUUAGUUUAAACCUGGAGCAACCAUAAGAGGGACCUGUCAGUGUGAGGUGAGCUGCCUGCGUCUAUUACUGAUAUGAACACUGAUGUCUCCAGACUGUUUCACAGCUGUUGCUCUUCGCAGAGGGCCAUGACAUGCGAUUCAAUUUAUUUAAGAUAGUCACGCCUACCAGAUGCUACACGAAGACCAAGAAGUAUUAAUUACUAUCAAUAGACCCAAGUUCAAUAGCUUGAGCUGCAGGGGUAACCAGGUUCACAGUGAUGCUUGCGCCAUCAUCUGCAGUGAACAGUACUGGUGCUGAAAAUUGUUCAGAGGUGAUGCUAGUGAUAAUCACGCAGAGUCUUUGACUGUUGUGAUGCCCUCACUGGGCAUCCUUGCUGAGGGGCCAAUGGUGCAGGUGGAUCUCUUUUUUGCAGGUACAGAAGGACGUGCUCUGUAGAUUAUUCCAGCAGAUAAGUUUCUUUCUGAGAAACAAGCUCAACCAGGAGAUGUUGCCAUGAAAUCUGGACCUUUUAAGAAGCUCCUGAGUUCUUCCUGAUUUCUGAAGACACCAAGUGAGCUGGAAGUCACCAGCGUGCUCUCAACAUCAUCCUGUUGGGUCAUCACCAAGCAGGCAAGCUGUCAAAAUGAAGAUUGGCCAACUUCACUUAUGGGGAUUUAGCACAGUUUUCCAGAGUGGUUGCUGGAAGGUUUCACAUGACCUGACCCUCCCAAAGCCUCCCUGAGUGAACAGAGGAAAAGACAAGUCCUUCUGUGGAGCAUUUCAGAGCCAGAGCCUACCACAGCAGCAUCGAAACGUUCUUGCAAAUCAUUUCCCUCUCUUUCAGCUUUGCGAAGGGCCCAUGGAUGCUGCAGGCUACUAGGAGCCUGUGUGAAUCCUUCCAUCAGUCUGCUGUCCCACGCACUGUUGGUACUUGUAUGCACGUUACUAUGAAA